rnacentral:rRNA from 1 species
CCUACGGGAGGCAGCAGUGGGGAAUAUUGGACAAUGGGCGAAAGCCUGAUCCAGCCAUGCCGCGUGUGUGAAGAAGGCCUUCGGGUUGUAAAGCACUUUCAGUGGGGAAGAAAGCCUUGGGGCUAAUACCCUCGAGGAAGGACAUCACCCACAGAAGAAGCACCGGCUAACUCCGUGCCAGCAGCCGCGGUAAUACGGAGGGUGCGAGCGUUAAUCGGAAUUACUGGGCGUAAAGCGCGCGUAGGCGGUCUGAUAAGCCGGUUGUGAAAGCCCCGGGCUCAACCUGGGAACGGCAUCCGGAACGGUCAGGCUAGAGUGCAGGAGAGGAAGGUAGAAUUCCCGGUGUAGCGGUGAAAUGCGUAGAGAUCGGGAGGAAUACCAGUGGCGAAGGCGGCCUUCUGGACUGACACUGACGCUGAGGUGCGAAAGCGUGGGUAGCAAACAGGAUUAGAUACCCUAGUAGUC